CAGCUUUUAGAAAAGCAACUACAGAGAGGACGUGAGUCACAUCGUUUGCAAGACAUCACACUGGACAAAUUUGGACAAGCAGUAUUUGGACCCCCAGCACCUGAUAUGCCUACACAGCAUCAUCCUGCAGUAGCUGGAACACCUCAGCAGCUCCAUGUGCUCACCACUGACCCAAACACAGACAAUAAUGCCUGUGGACCACAUUGUGAAAUGAUCACAAAAAGUGAGAAUGUGAGACCAUGCCGAUCAUCAUGGACCUUCAAGCUUCAUCCUGCCCAAGAGCAGCUGCUUAAAUACGUAUUGGACACUGACAACCUAGC